CCUUAUCAUUUAGAGGAAGGAGAAGUCGUAACAAGGUUUUUGUAGGUGAACCUACAGAAGGAUCAUUGUCGAAACUUGCAAAGCAGACCACGAACACGUGUUUAACCACAUCAGGGCCGAUACGAGGGGAGGAACCCUCUCGACGUGGCCCUAUCUCCUGCUGGCGCACGCGCAAAUUCAUGCCAUGUGGGCUAAYGAACCCCGGCGCGGCAUGUCGCGCCCAUCCAUGGUGCGCGAGGGGGGGAGCGGACAUCUCUUAAAAUAUCAAAAUGACUCUUGACAACGGAUAUCUCGAUUCUCGUAUCGAUGAAGAAUGUAGAUAAAUACGAUACUUGAUGUGAAUUACAGAAUCUCGUGAACCAUCGAGUCUUUGAACGCAAGUUGCGCCCGAAGCUAUUAGGCCGAGGGCAUGUCUACCUAGGCAUCAUGCAUCGCGUCGCCCCCCUCUCGUGCUCCUCUAGGGUAACGGGUGACGGGGGCGGACAAUGGCCUCCUAUGCGCCCCGUGCGCGCGGCCAGCCCAAAUGUGAUCCCACAGCGAUGCACGUCAUGACCAGUGGUAUUUGAACACUCAACUCGCGUGCUGUCAUGCGAGACGGUAUCAUCCGCUCGGGCAUCAUCACCAACCCAAACGUCAUGUUGCGAUCGCGCUUCCGACCAUGGCCUUAGGUCAGGCGGGAUUACUCGCUGAGUUUAAGCAUAUCAAU
rnacentral:misc_RNA from 1 species